UAGAUAAGGCCCGCCUAUUUAGG
rnacentral:siRNA from 1 species